rnacentral:rRNA from 1 species
UAGAGAUAUGAGGGUGCUAGCUUGCUAGAACUUAGAGACAGGUGCUGCACGGCUGUCGUCAGCUCGUGUCGUGAGAUGUUGGGUUAAGUCCCGCAACGAGCGCAACCCACGUAUUUAGUUGCUAACGGUUCGGCCGAGCACUCUAAAUAGACUGCCUUCGUAAGGAGGAGGAAGGUGUGGACGACGUCAAGUCAUCAUGGCCCUUAUGCCCAGGGCGACACACGUGCUACAAUGGCAUAUACAAUGAGACGCAAUACCGCGAGGUGGAGCAAAUCUAUAAAAUAUGUCCCAGUUCGGAUUGUUCUCUGCAACUCGAGAGCAUGAAGCCGGAAUCGCUAGUAAUCGUAGAUCAGCCAUGCUACGGUGAAUACGUUCCCGGGUCUUGUACUCACCGCCCGUCACACCAUGGGAGUUGAUUUCACUCGAAGCCGGAAUACUAAACUAGUUACCGUCCACAGUGGAAUCAGCGACUGGGGUGAAGUCGUAACAAGGUAACCGUAGGAGAACCUGCGGUUGGAUCACCUCCUUUCUAG